AGUAUCACACGACUUACAGGUGCAUCCCACCUUCUGGACCACACACAUAUAUUUAUGUCCUGUGCCCCUUUUUGUUGUCCUUUGCUCAUUCUCUUCUUCGCCGUGUGCGCGCGUAUAGUUUUACAUAGCAUCGCGUCUCUCAGCACCCCCCCCUCCUCCCUUGAGUUCGCCCCGCUCUUCCCCAACGAGGUGCCUCCUUUCUACAGGCACUUCACACAGCGGUCAUAGUUUGGCUGGUUCUGCUCUUUCUCGAAAAGAACUAAGGAAGGAAAGCGAAAGACUACGUCUUCUUGAGUACGUCUGCAGCUCAUCUGUUCCCCCUCCAGACAGGCCAGCACGAACACUACAGACACACACAAACGUAGGCAUCUACUCUACGAAAAAAAUCUUCUCCACUUAAUAACUGGAGACUGCAGGGGCAGUCUCAUCUGUGCCUCCACCCCUCCCGUACCUACAAGCGAACGCAUGCGCACACCCUUUGUGUUCUAUGAGAACACUGUAGCAACAACAAAAAUAGAGAUUGAGAAGUCACGGUCUUCAAUGUGAGGUCAGGACAAGGGACGCGGCGCUCACUUACUUCCCUCACGUUCAUUCCCCAUAUACACACUCGCACCCUCUCUCCCAUUAUAGAAUGCCAAAGGAAAAGAAGCAGCGGGUUGUUCUGCUGCCGCUCAUCCCCAACGGCGGUGAUUUGAGCCCAGCUGCGGACGACACCAUGGCAAAGGGCACGCACAGUACGUGCGGCGAUGGCGCCACUGGUGGCAGCAGCCCCGCCACCGCCGCCGCGUCGGCAGCUGACGGCAAGAAGCUGGGGUACAAGGACGUCAUCAACCGCACCAUAUUCACGAUUCUUAUGGCGUACGUUUUUCUGGGCUGGAUCUCUGUCGGUAUCCGCUUUGGCCUCUUCCUGCUCUUUGUGAUUGAGAGCACCAUGUUCUACGAGGUAACCCGGAUCAAUCAGCGGGUACGCAAAGAGCGUCAGCUGCCGUCGGUGCUCUUCAUCAAGUGGUACUUCUUCGUCGUCUGCUACGUUUUUGUUAGUCUCUUUUGCAAUCGCGAACCGCUGCAAAACACCUUUGCGUGGUUUGACAAGGUAUACGACCUGCUUCCCUUCGCGUUCUUCUGUUGUGUCAUGCUAGGGCUCGUCGUCUUCGUGCUGAGCCUGCGCAAGGGCAUGUACCGCUAUCAAUUCAUCCAGUUCACAUGGACGGCAAUGAUGCUGAUGCUGUGUCAGGUGCAGUUUGCUGGCGAAAUGCGCAACAUGGUGCGCGGCAUGAUCUGGUUCCUGCUGCCAGUGAGCUGUGUCGUCAACAACGACAUUUGGGCCUACAUCUUUGGCAAGUGUUUCGGGCGAAAAAAGCUGCUGUCCCUGUCGCCGAAGAAGACGGUGGAGGGGUUCCUCGGCGCGUUCCUCUUCACAGUCAUUUGGUCCUUCUGGUUCUGCGGCUUUCUGAGCCACUUCCCGCAGAUGUACUGCCCCGCCGUGGGCUUCACCAACGCCGUCAACUCUCACUGCGAGCGCAACCCCGUCUUCCUCCAGAAGGAGGUUGCCUUUCCGCAGUGGAUACAGCAGGUGUCGGGUGGUAUGCUGACCACCUUUCUCGUCUCGCCAGCGCAGAAGCACGCCCUCGUGCUGGGAACGUUUGCGUCGCUCCUCGCGCCGUUCGGCGGCUUCUUCGCAAGUGGGCUGAAGCGUGCCUUCAAGCUCAAGGACUUUGGUGACCUCAUCCCCGGCCACGGCGGCAUGACGGACCGUAUGGACUGUCAGGGCCUCAUGGGCCUCUUCACGUACUGCUACCUCCGCACCUACGUCUUCCACGAAACCAAGUGCCCCGGUGCGAACGACAUUACGCGCUGCGCCCUUCGCAUGGACGCCGAGCGCCGUCAGACCUUGGUGAACCAGCUGCUGCAGUCGCUGCAGGCAUAGCAGGACGCAGGUGACAAGAAGAUGUGCGUGUGUGAAAGAGGCAAGAGAGGACUCACACCCACAAGGCGGGCUCAUAUGCAGCGGAACAAAGCAAAGAGGGACAGAUGCAAAAAAGAAGAAAAAAGGAAAUCAGCCAGCUGUCGCGUUCCUGGGCUGUUCAGACAUGCGCGCAGCAGCGGGGCGUUGCGGCAUGCAUCGGAGGUCCCUCCUCAUAACGUUUGCUUCUCUUCUUUUUUUUUUCGGCCUAUCAAUAUGAAUGUGUGUGUUUUUGUAUGUGUGUUUCUUGCGGGUUCAUCAGUCAUGUGUCUGUGCAUCCCCAUCCCCUCCUCAUGGCUGCACCUUUUUGUGCUCUCUCACCACUCAAUCCACUCUGCUGUCCCCCUCACGAUGCGUCGACUCUUCCCUCCUUACCUCCCCCUGUGCGAUGGUGGAGUGGUGUGAGCUCUGCGAGAUGGAAGAAAAGGAAAGGGGUCCACGUGAUGAACGGCGCUGUUGCAUUGAUUGCUGACGGCUUGGACGACGAUAUGCAAUAAAGGAAGGAGAUUACGUUGUGCUCUCUGUUUGCUGGUGGCUCCUGACGCCCCUUUUCACACACAAACGCACGUACAUGUCCAGAAGGUUUGUUCGGCCCGUCCUAGCCCGCCCAAAAAAAAACUGCACCACGCCCUCCGCGCCCCCCCUCCUCCUCCCAUCGCUGACACUCUUCUUAACGACAGCCCAAGGUAAAAAAAAGCCGCAUCAGCCUUUUUUCUAUAUUUAACCUUUGCAAGCCAGCAGGCUCCGCAAGAAUGAUAACCGCCCUUUUUAUGCGAAUGACGGGGGACGAGGUGAAGGAACG
rnacentral:misc_RNA from 1 species